ensembl:lincRNA
AGAAAGGUGUUUAUCUCGUAUCUGUUUUCAUGGAACACUUGCUUGAACCAUGCUAAAGACACACAAUCCUACUGAUGGACAACUAUAGUGUUUGAAAUGAGAGGUACGCAGAGUCACAUCCAGCUUUUCUGGGAACCCAAACUCAAGACCUCAUGAUGAGCAUCAAAGAAGGCCCAUUCAGCCCAAGCUAUAUAGUAGAAUCCUUUUAAAAGACCAACCAAUAAUAAUAAAUAAUGCUUGCCUUCCACUCUG